UUUCCAUUGGGCAGAGACUUUUCAUUCUUUGAACGAGGUUUGCUCUGGCGGGUUAUAGAAGGAAAACUUUUGGAAUCAUUUACUUUUAAUCAAUAAUAAUACAGUCAUUCUACACUAUUCUGUUUUGGGGUUUCUAUCAUCAUUACAUGGCAGCGAUUAUACAAGUUUAUCAUCUUCAUUUACAAGCACUUCAAACUGGCUAGUUUUGUGACAUAAUUUGUAAAAACAGGGGACUCUAGAAUCUAGAUGAAUCCAAUAGAUUC
rnacentral:lncRNA from 1 species